UUUUUGGGAUUUAGUUGCAUAUCAUGCUUUCGGAGCUGUUGAAAAAUUUCUUGAAGGACUCUAAGAAGAAUUAAAAAAUUUAAAUUUAAAGCAAAAAGGAGAUGUAUCUGCCACAAUGCAGCAACUCGCACAAGCAUGUGACCAAUGGUAUGCCCAUACCAUUCACUAAAGGUCCCAAAAGAUCAAGUUAGCAACUCGCACAAAUGUGCAACCCAUUACACACCAUGCCAGAGUGUCCAAGGCCAUCAGACUCAAAUCACAUAGUAGGUUUCUUAUGAAGGGAACAUCUUGUAAUGGGGUGUUACAAGUAAGUGCUUCUUGGGUUGCAAGAAAUGAUUUCUUUAAUAGUGUAAAAUUA